CUAUACAUGCAGUCGAGCGAAUGGAUUAAGAGCUUGCUCUUAUGAAGUUAGCGGCGGACGGGUGAGUAACACGUGGGUAACCUGCCCAUAAGACUGGGAUAACUCCGGGAAACCGGGGCUAAUACCGGAUAACAUUUUGAACCGCAUGGUUCGAAAUUGAAAGGCGGCUUCGGCUGUCACUUAUGGAUGGACCCGCGUCGCAUUAGCUAGUUGGUGAGGUAACGGCUCACCAAGGCAACGAUGCGUAGCCGACCUGAGAGGGGAUCGGCCACACUGGGACUGAGACACGGCCCAGACUCCUACGGGAGGCAGCAGUAGGGAAUCUUCCGCAAUGGACGAAAGUCUGACGGAGCAACGCCGCGUGAGUGAUGAAGGCUUUCGGGUCGUAAAACUCUGUUGUUAGGGAAGAACAAGUGCUAGUUGAAUAAGCUGGCACCUUGACGGUACCUAACCAGAAAGCCACGGCUAACUACGUGCCAGCAGCCGCGGUAAUACGUAGGUGGCAAGCGUUAUCCGGAAUUAUUGGGCGUAAAGCGCGCGCAGGUGGUUUCUUAAGUCUGAUGUGAAAGCCCACGGCUCAACCGUGGAGGGUCAUUGGAAACUGGGAGACUUGAGUGCAGAAGAGGAAAGUGGAAUUUCCAUGUGUAGCGGUGAAAUGCGUAGAGAUAUGGAGGAACACCAGUGGCGAAGGCGACUUUCUGGUCUGUAACUGACACUGAGGCGCGAAAGCGUGGGGGAGCA
rnacentral:rRNA from 1 species